rnacentral:rRNA from 1 species
CCUACGGGAGGCAGCAGUGGGGAAUAUUGCACAAUGGGGGAAACCCUGAUGCAGCGACGCCGCGUGAGUGAAGAAGUAUUUCGGUACGUAAAGCUCUAUCAGCAGGGAAGAAAAUGACGGUACCUGACUAAGAAGCCCCGGCUAACUACGUGCCAGCAGCCGCGGUAAUACGUAGGGGGCAAGCGUUAUCCGGAUUUACUGGGUGUAAAGGGAUCGUAGACGGCAGCGAAAGUCUGGAGUGAAAGCCCAUGGCUUAACCAUGGAACUGCUUUGGAAACUGUGCAGCUAGAGUGCAGGAGAGGUAAGCGGAAUUCCUAGUGUAGCGGUGAAAUGCGUAGAUAUUAGGAGGAACACCAGUGGCGAAGGCGGCUUACUGGACUGUAACUGACGUUGAGGCUCGAAAGCGUGGGGAGCAAACAGGAUUAGAUACCCCGGUAGUC